rnacentral:rRNA from 1 species
GACAGAGGGUGCAAACGUUGCUCGGAAUCACUGGGCGUAAAGGGCGCGUAGGCGGGAAUGUAAGUCGGGCGUGAAAUCCCCAGGCUCAACCUGGGAACUGCACUCGAAACUGCGUUUCUUGAGUAUCGGAGAGGAAAGCGGAAUUCCUGGUGUAGAGGUGAAAUUCGUAGAUAUCAGAAGGAACACCAGUGGCGAAGGCGGCUUUCUGGACGGUAACUGACGCUGAGGCGCGAAAGCGUGGGGAGCAAACAGG